UCCACCCUAACACCCUAGACUAAGCAAGUGGAUUACUCAGCCAUGGACAGAGAAAACAUAGAGAUAACAGAUGAAGAAAACAUGCCUGAAUCAAUAACAAAAAGCAAAGAGGGUUUAGAAAUCUUCUCAAAAGGAUGUAGAGAUUCUUCUCCCUUAACAAGAGUACCAAUUUUCUCUCUCUAAAAUCUCUCUGAAAAAUAGCGUAGAAUGUCUAGAAUAAUAAGAAAAGAUAUAUAUGCAGGUCUGUGGCGGCCAAGGAGUAAAAGGGGGAAGCCCUAGGUAAAAUCCCGAAAUAUUUGGAAACUUCCUUAAAAAUCUCUGCCGCUGGAACAGGCACAUCAGACUGCUCCGCACGACUGCUCUGCGUGAAAAACUCCAAAUUGCAUUAUUUUUCUCUUCUUUUCCUCCAACUGGUUUAUCUCCCAUCCAAUGCAACUCCAGACCUGUAAUGACUCGAAAAGGACUAGGAAGACUCGAUAAAAACUUAAAAACCAAUUAGAAAACAUAUAUACAAGAUGCCAAAAACACCAUAUAUCAAGGAUAUUGGG
rnacentral:lncRNA from 1 species